GAUGAAGAACGCAGCGAAAUGCGAAAAAUAAUGUGAAUUGCAGAAUUCAGUGAAUCAUCGAAUCUUUGAACGCACAUUGCGCCCGCCAGUAUUCUGGCGGGCAUGCCUGUCUGAGCGUCAUUUCAACCCUCACGCCCCUAGGGCGUGGUGUUGGGGAUCGGCCAAGGCCCGCAAGGGACGGCCGGCCCCUAAAUCUAGUGGCGGACCCAUCGUGGCCUCCCCUGCGAAGUAGUAAUAUAUUCCGCAUCGGAUAGCGAUGAGCCCCUGCCGUUAAACCCCCAACUCUUUCAAGGUUGACCUCAGAUCAGGUAGGAAUACCCGCUGAACUUAAGCAUAUCAAUAAGCGGAGGA
rnacentral:misc_RNA from 1 species